rnacentral:rRNA from 1 species
UACAGAGGUCCCAAGCGUUGUUCGGAUUCACUGGGCGUAAAGGGUGCGUAGGCGGUCGGGUAAGUCUGAUGUGAAAGCUCGCGGCUUAACCGCGAAACGGCAUCGGAUACUAUCUGGCUGGAGGAGUGGAGGGGAGACUGGAAUUCUCGGUGUAGCAGUGAAAUGCGUAGAUAUCGAGAGGAACACCUGUGGCGAAGGCGAGUCUCUGGACACUUCCUGACGCUGAGGCACGAAAGCCAGGGGAGCAAACGGG